GGCACCAUGGCAGAGUGGUUAUUGCGUUAGAUUUAAGAAAGUUGAACAGAUCUUCUUAAAAUCUCUAAUCUCGAGAGAGGCGUGGGUUCGAACCCCACUGGUGUCA